rnacentral:rRNA from 2 species
CUUGCUUGUUGGGGUUGUAGGACACUCUAUACGGAGUUACAAAGGACGACAUUAGACGAAUCAUCUGGAAAGAUGAAUCAAAGAAGGUAAUAAUCCUGUAGUCGAAAAUGUUGUCUCUCUUGAGUGGAUCCUGAGUACGACGGAGCACGUGAAAUUCCGUCGGAAUCUGGGAGGACCAUCUCCUAAGGCUAAAUACUCUCUAGUGACCGAUAGUGAACCAGUACCGUGAGGGAAAGGUGAAAAGCACCCCGGAAGGGGAGUGAAAUAGAACCUGAAACCGUGUGCUUACAAGUAGUCAGAGCCCGUUAAUGGGUGAUGGCGUGCCUUUUGUAGAAUGAACCGGCGAGUUACGAUUUGAUGCAAGGUUAAGCAGUAAAUGUGGAGCCGUAGCGAAAGCGAGUCUGAAUAGGGCGUUUAGUAUUUGGUCGUAGACCCGAAACCAGGUGAUCUACCCUUGGUCAGGUUGAAGUUCAGGUAACACUGAAUGGAGGACCGAACCGACUUACGUUGAAAAGUGAGCGGAUGAACUGAGGGUAGCGGAGAAAUUCCAAUCGAACCUGGAGAUAGCUGGUUCUCUCCGAAAUAGCUUUAGGGCUAGCCUCAAGUGAUGAUUAUUGGAGGUAGAGCACUGUUUGGACGAGGGGCCCCUCUCGGGUUACCGAAUUCAGACAAACUCCGAAUGCCAAUUAAUUUAACUUGGGAGUCAGAACAUGGGUGAUAAGGUCCGUGUUCGAAAGGGAAACAGCCCAGACCACCAGCUAAGGUCCCAAAAUAUAUGUUAAGUGGAAAAGGAUGUGGCGUUGCCCAGACAACUAGGAUGUUGGCUUAGAAGCAGCCAUCAUUUAAAGAGUGCGUAAUAGCUCACUAGUCGAGUGACACUGCGCCGAAAAUGUACCGGGGCUAAACAUAUUACCGAAGCUGUGGAUUGUCCUUUGGACAAUGGUAGGAGAGCGUUCUAAGGGCGUUGAAGCAUGAUCGUAAGGACAUGUGGAGCGCUUAGAAGUGAGAAUGCCGGUGUGAGUAGCGAAAGACGGGUGAGAAUCCCGUCCACCGAUUGACUAAGGUUUCCAGAGGAAGGCUCGUCCGCUCUGGGUUAGUCGGGUCCUAAGCUGAGGCCGACAGGCGUAGGCGAUGGAUAACAGGUUGAUAUUCCUGUACCACCUAUAAUCGUUUUAAUCGAUGGGGGGACGCAGUAGGAUAGGCGAAGCGUGCGAUUGGAUUGCACGUCUAAGCAGUAAGGCUGAGUAUUAGGCAAAUCCGGUACUCGUUAAGGCUGAGCUGUGAUGGGGAGAAGACAUUGUGUCUUCGAGUCGUUGAUUUCACACUGCCGAGAAAAGCCUCUAGAUAGAAAAUAGGUGCCCGUACCGCAAACCGACACAGGUAGUCAAGAUGAGAAUUCUAAGGUGAGCGAGCGAACUCUCGUUAAGGAACUCGGCAAAAUGACCCCGUAACUUCGGGAGAAGGGGUGCUCUUUAGGGUUAACGCCCAGAAGAGCCGCAGUGAAUAGGCCCAAGCGACUGUUUAUCAAAAACACAGGUCUCUGCUAAACCGUAAGGUGAUGUAUAGGGGCUGACGCCUGCCCGGUGCUGGAAGGUUAAGAGGAGUGGUUAGCUUCUGCGAAGCUACGAAUCGAAGCCCCAGUAAACGGCGGCCGUAACUAUAACGGUCCUAAGGUAGCGAAAUUCCUUGUCGGGUAAGUUCCGACCCGCACGAAAGGCGUAACGAUUUGGGCACUGUCUCAACGAGAGACUCGGUGAAAUCAUAGUACCUGUGAAGAUGCAGGUUACCCGCGACAGGACGGAAAGACCCCGUGGAGCUUUACUGUAGCCUGAUAUUGAAAUUCGGCACAGCUUGUACAGGAUAGGUAGGAGCCUUUGAAACGUGAGCGCUAGCUUACGUGGAGGCGCUGGUGGGAUACUACCCUAGCUGUGUUGGCUUUCUAACCCGCACCACUUAUCGUGGUGGGAGACAGUGUCAGGCGGGCAGUUUGACUGGGGCGGUCGCCUCCUAAAAGGUAACGGAGGCGCUCAAAGGUUCCCUCAGAAUGGUUGGAAAUCAUUCAUAGAGUGUAAAGGCAUAAGGGAGCUUGACUGCGAGACCUACAAGUCGAGCAGGGUCGAAAGACGGACUUAGUGAUCCGGUGGUUCCGCAUGGAAGGGCCAUCGCUCAACGGAUAAAAGCUACCCCGGGGAUAACAGGCUUAUCUCCCCCAAGAGUUCACAUCGACGGGGAGGUUUGGCACCUCGAUGUCGGCUCAUCGCAUCCUGGGGCUGUAGUCGGUCCCAAGGGUUGGGCUGUUCGCCCAUUAAAGCGGUACGCGAGCUGGGUUCAGAACGUCGUGAGACAGUUCGGUCCCUAUCCGUCGUGGGCGUAGGAAAUUUGAGAGGAGCUGUCCUUAGUACGAGAGGACCGGGAUGGACAUACCUCUGGUGUACCAGUUGUCGUGCCAACGGCAUAGCUGGGUAGCUAUGUGUGGACGGGAUAAGUGCUGAAAGCAUCUAAGCAUGAAGCCCCCCUCAAGAUGAGAUUUCCCAACUUCGGUUAUAAGAUCCCUCAAAGAUGAUGAGGUUAAUAGGUUCGAGGUGGAAGCAUGGUGACAUGUGGAGCUGACGAAUACUAAUCGAUCGAAGACUUAAUCAA